rnacentral:rRNA from 1 species
UACAGGGGGGGCAAGCGUUGUUCGGAAUUACUGGGCGUAAAGGGCUCGUAGGCGGCCAACUAAGUCCGACGUGAAAUCCCAAAGCUUAACUUUGGAACUGCGUCGGAUACUGGAUGGCUUGAAUUCGGGAGAGGGAUGCAGAAUUCCAGGUGUAGCGGUGAAAUGCGUAGAUAUUGGGAGGAACACCGGUGGCGAAGGCGGCCCUCUGGACCGGUACUGACGCUGAUGCGCGAAAGCGUGGGGAGCAAACGGG